CAGCCCCGUCCCCAGCCACUCCAGGGUUCUGCCACCCAAACCACACUUUCCCACACCCCUGGGGCCGAGAUGUCAUUCCAGCGCCAGCUUCCUGGACCCGGUUAUUCCCAGCCUUUAACUCCGCCUCCAAGCUUCCCCUACGUCAUAUCAGCGACCACAGUCUCCCCUCUUAUCCCUUUAGCUCCUCAGUUCGAGUUUUCCGACGCGGCCCCCACCCUUAACCCCUAGCCUCCAGGGAUCCCAGACAUCCUCCCGGCUCCCUAGAGCCCUCCCCUGUUCUCAGCCCCGUUAGACCCUCCCCUCAGAGCAGAACGCGUUUGCGCUCUAUGUCCCUCCGCAGCCCCUCCACCGUCCUCUCUGCCCCCAAAGUUUUAUCUUGCCUCUUGGGUACCCUUUGGGACCCUUAUGUCAUCCCCACCAUCAGGGCACCCAGACUUAACCCUAACUGCAAGUCUCAGACUCACUCUGGUCCUUAUUGAUGAGCCAGGUGUCCUUGGAGUCAAGUGGCUCACUGUCACCGAUUUCAUUCCGAGCCACCACUCUGAAGUAGUACUUCCUGCCUGGGAGCAGCCCCGUCACUGUGUACUUGUUGCUGAAGACACGCUCGGCUGCCGUGUACCAGGUGGCUGUGCUUGCAUCCCGCUUCAUGAUGACGUAGUGAGCCUCAUCGUCCUCCUGCACAUCUGGGCUGUGGUUCCAGCAUCUGCCAAGUCCGAUGGAAGAUAAGAUGGGGCAAGUCUCAGGCAUCUGGUGUCUUGGAGUUGGAAAACUAUUUCUGAAGUCUGCUCUGCCAUUUACUAGCCUUGUGACCUGGGCCAUACAGACAUCUAGCUGCCCUGCAACACUGUGAAGCAUUUAUUUGUUUUCUCAUCUGUCUCCUUCUACUAGUACGCAAGACCCUGGAAGGCAAGUCCUUGUGUCUUGUUUCUACAUCCCUAACACCUCCUUUUGAAAUUGCCAUUGCAACAAUUAUAACAGCGAGAAAAUUAUGACAGUGAACAAGAUCUGAUCUAACCAAAUAACCAACCCCCAUCUUGCCUUUAACCUCCAAACUGCCCUUAAUCAUUCCUGGUUUCAGACCAAGCUAAUGUUGGGAGAGACAUUUAGUUUAUAGCUUAGAUGGUAACAGUCUUCCCCCAAACUAAAUCACCUUUGCGAAGCUAAUGAAAGGCCACCAGGUUAGGAGGAUGUGAGGAGCCUGAAUUCUGCUAAGGUGUAGACAUAAAAGAUUACCAGCCAUUAUUCCAGAGAUCACAAGAUUUGCAACUCCCCAGCUGCUCCUGCAAAUAACAACACUAUUGUAGAGCCUAAGAUUGGUGGUUGAGAUGUCUUUUCAGGUUUUUGCAUUUCUGACGACUGAUGGUUCCACCUGGACCUGCUCUCCCUCCACCCCACAAGUCCUGUGGCCCCACUCAGAAGCAGGCUCCCUGGACUUUGAAUUUUCGGGGAAUUGAUUUGGGUAAUAACUCUGUCUCCCAUACAGCAUGGCUGGCCUUGUGUCCAUUAAACUCUUUGUUGCAAUGCUGUGGUCUCAGUGAACUGGUUUUGCGUGUACAAUGCACAAGAAGAACCCAUUGGGUGGUUACACCUUGACACACAGUAGAUGCUAUUUGGCACACAAUGAUUGAUUUAGUGGGGGUGCCCCUGAAGUUACCCCUAACUUUGUCCAGGCACAACAACUAUGGAUGACUUUUUCAUGAUCAUAGCAUCAUCCAAUUUUCCUGUGGGAUGGGGCCCCAGAAGAGAAGGUUUGGAG
rnacentral:lncRNA from 1 species